AAGUCGUAACAAGGUUUCCGUAGGUGAACCUGCGGAAGGAUCAUUACAGAGUUCAUGCCCUCACGGGUAGAUCUCCCACCCUUGAAUAUUAUACCUUAGUUGCUUUGGCAGGCCGGGGCAACCCCCGGGGCUUCGGCCUUGGUGUGCCUGCCAGAGGAAACAAACUCUGUUUUUUAGUGAUGUUCUGAGUACUAUAUAAUAGUUAAAACUUUCAACAACGGAUCUCUUGGUUCUGGCAUCGAUGAAGAGCGCAGCGAAAUGCGAUAAGUAAUGUGAAUUGCAGAAUUCAGUGAAUCAUCGAAUCUUUGAACGCACAUUGCGCCCCGUGGUAUUCCGCGGGGCAUGCCUGUUCGAGCGUCAUUUCAACCCAUCAAGCUUCGGCUUGGUCUUGGGGCCUGCGAUUCCGCAGCCUCUAAACCCAGUGGCGGUGCCUCCGAGCUCUGAGCGUAGUAAUUCUUCUCGCUAUAGGGUCUCGGUGGUGUCUUGCCAGUAACCCCCAAUUUUUUACAGGUUGACCUCGGAUCAGGUAGGGAUACCCGCUGAACUUAAGCAUAUCAAUAAGCGGAGGAAAAGAAACCAACAGGGAUUACCUCAGUAACGGCGAGUGAAGCGGUAACAGCUCAAAUUUGAAAUCUGCCGCAAGGCCGAGUUGUAAUUUGUAGAAGAUGCUUUGGGUAUGGCCCCGGUCUAAGUUCGUUGGAACACGACGUCAUAGAGGGUGAGAAUCCCGUAUGUGACUGGGUGCUUUUGCCUAUGUAAAGCUCUUUCGACGAGUCGAGUUGUUUGGGAAUGCAGCUCAAAAUGGGUGGUAUAUUUCAUCUAAAGCUAAAUAUUGGCCAGAGACCGAUAGCGCACAAGUAGAGUGAUCGAAAGAUGAAAAGCACUUUGGAAAGAGAGUUAAACAGUACGUGAAAUUGUUGAAAGGGAAGCGCUUGCAACCAGACUUGCACGCUGUUGAUCAUCCAGGCUUCUGUCUGGUGCACUCGGCAGCGUUCAGGCCAGCAUCGGUUCUGGUGGUGGGAUAAAGGCCUUGGGAAUGUAGCUUCUUUCGGGGAGUGUUAUAGCCCUCGGUGCAAUGCCGCCUAUCGGGACCGAGGACCGCGCUUCGGCUAGGAUGCUGGCGUAAUGGUUGUAAGCGACC
rnacentral:rRNA from 1 species